UACAGAGGGGGCAAGCGUUGUUCGGAAUUACUGGGCGUAAAGGGCGCGUAGGCGGCCUGCUAAGUCGAACGUGAAAUCCCUGGGCUCAACCCAGGAACUGCGUCCGAUACUGGUUGGCUUGAAUCCGGGAGAGGGACGUGGAAUUCCAGGUGUAGCGGUGAAAUGCGCAGAUAUCAGGAGGAACACCGGUGGCGAAGGCGGAUCUCUGGGCCAUUACUGACGCUGAGGAGCGAAAGCGUGGGGAGCGAACAGG
rnacentral:rRNA from 1 species